rnacentral:rRNA from 1 species
GACGAACGCUGGCGGCGUGCUUAACACAUGCAAGUCGAACGGAAAGGCCCUGCUUGCAGGGUACUCGAGUGGCGAACGGGUGAGUAACACGUGGGUGAUCUGCCCUGCACUUCGGGAUAAGCCUGGGAAACUGGGUCUAAUACCGGAUAGGAGCCAUUUUUAGUGUGAUGGUUGGAAAGUUUUUUCGGUGUAGGAUGAGCUCGCGGCCUAUCAGCUUGUUGGUGGGGUAAUGGCCUACCAAGGCGGCGACGGGUAGCCGGCCUGAGAGGGUGGACGGCCACAUUGGGACUGAGGGACGGCCCAGACUCCGACGGGAGGCAGCAGUGGGGAAUAUUGCACAAUGGGCGCAAGCCUGAUGCAGCGACGCCGCGUGGGGGAUGACGGCCUUCGGGUUGUAAACUCCUUUCGCUAGGGACGAAGCUUUUUGUGACGGUACCUAGAGAAGAAGCACCGGCUAACUACGUG